ensembl:misc_RNA Metazoa_SRP Metazoan signal recognition particle RNA
GCCGGGCACGGUGGCUCAUGCCUGUAAUCCCAGCACUUUGGGAGGCUGAGGUGGGCGGAUCACCUGAGGUCAGGAGUUCAAGACCAGCCUGACCAACAUGGAGAAACCCCAUCUCUA